rnacentral:rRNA from 1 species
CGACCGGCGCACGGGUGAGUAACACGUAUGGAACCUGCCCUAUGCAGGGGGAUAAGCGGAAGAAAUUCCGUCUAAUACCGCAUAACACCUUUAGGAGACAUCUUCUUGGGGUCAAAGGAGGCGACUCCGGCAUAGGAUGGCCAUGCGUCGCAUUAGCUAGUCGGCGGGGUAACGGCUCACCGAGGCGACGAUGCGUAGGGGUUCUGAGAGGAAGGUCCCCCACACUGGUACUGAGACACGGACCAGACUCCUACGGGAGGCAGCAG